CGGCUCAGUAACACGUGGAUAACCUACCCUCAGAUCUGGGAUAACUCCGGGAAACUGGAGAUAAUACCGGAUAAUCCGUGAACGCUGGAAUGCCUUACGGUUGAAAGCUUUAGCGUCUGAGGAUGGGUCUGCGGCCGAUUAGGUAGUUGCUGGGGUAACGUCCCAACAAGCCGAUAAUCGGUACGGGUUGUGAGAGCAAGAGCCCGGAGAUGGAUUCUGAGACACGAAUCCAGGUCCUACGGGGCGCAGCAGGCGCGAAAACUUUACACUGCGCGAAAGCGCGAUAAGGGGACCUCGAGUGCGUGCGCAAAGCGUACGCUUUUCAGAUGCCUAAAAAGCAUCUGGAAUAAGGGCCGGGCAAGACCGGUGCCAGCCGCCGCGGUAACACCGGCGGCUCAAGUGGUGGCCGCUAUUAUUGGGCUUAAAGGGUCCGUAGCCGGACCAGUUAGUCCCUUGGGAAAUCUUACGGCUUAACCGUAAGGCUGCCAAUGGAUACUGCUGGUCUUGGGACCGGGAGAGGCAAGAGGUACCUCAGGGGUAGGAGUGAAAUCCUGUAAUCCUUGAGGGACCGCCAGUGGCGAAGGCGUCUUGCUAGAACGGGUCCGACGGUGAGGGACGAAAGCUAGGGGCACGAACCGGAUUAGAUACCCGGGUAGUCCUAGCCGUAAACGAUGCGAG
rnacentral:rRNA from 1 species